GUCUGUGCUUGAAGUAUGGACUUGCCAAGUCAUCGGGUCCGUAGUACGCGUACUAGGAAUUGAGAAACGGCCUCAGUUUGAAGAGUACACCUGCGGAGGACUUCCAACAGGGGGCGCCCAUUAAUGUCAAUGUCAACAAAACAACAAGCAGCGUUGUAUUAUAAGUAUUACCGUAGAUUCCUCCGAACUCUGAUCCCGUCUUUUCCUGCCCUUCAGUAUCCAUCUCUUUAUUCUACUCAAAACAACGGCUCUUUUAAGAGCCACUCUUUUCUGUACUACAUAAACACACAGGCAUAUCACUCACUCACUCACUCACUCACUCACUCACUCACUCACUCACUCACUCACUCACCCACUCACUCACUCACUCACUCACUCACUCACUCACUCACUCACCCACCCAAUCACUGUCUGUCGGUCUGUCUGUCUGUCUGUCUGUCUGUCUGUCUUGCUGUCUCCGUGGCUAAACAUGCCAACGAAGGGGUCGACACAGAGGAAGUGUGUCAAUUGUGGCACACUUAUAAAUGUUGCCUGCAAAAAGUGCAAGGCAUGUGAAGCUAUCCAACCCUACAAGGUUAGACUUGCAAAAAGAAAAGAAGGCUUCAAUCGAAAGCGUGAAACGUGGGUCCAAACCCACAAAAAGAACCGGACCAGCUCUCACGUUCAGGAUGAGGCUAGCAUGUUGCUUGAGAAAUUGCAGGCCCUUGGAUGGAGGCCUGUUUUAUUCCUGGCAAGACCUGGGAAAAAGAAAGAUUGCUGGCACUCAGAAGUUUUGGCCCCUCUCUGCCAUCUGUCUGAGACGUCCUCUGCGUGUCUGGAAAGGAUGAAGGCACUGUUUGAUCACGUUAUUGAAGGAUGGACCCCCCCAGAGACACCUGCAGCAGCCUCCACUCUGCCUCCACCCUGUCCUCCACCCUGUCCUCCACCCUGUCCUCCACCCUGUCCUCCACCCUGUCCUCCAACCUGUCCACCAGAGACACCUGCAGCAGCCUCCACUCUGCAUCCACCCUGUCCUCCACCCUGUCCACCAGAGAAGUCUGCAGCAGCCUCCACUCUGCCUCCACCCUGUCCUCCAAAGACACCUGCAGGAGCCUCCACUCUGCCUCCACCCUGUCCUCCAGAUUCAACUGCAGGAGCCUCCUCAAAAACUCUUGAAGAAGAAUGUCAACACGUUGUGCCAGGGAGAGAGGGGUUUUACCCUGUGAAGAGGGUAGCCAGAAGAAAAGUUAUUAAGGGGCAGAAGAUGAAACGAGUUCAGUGGGAGCCAUGCACACUCUGUGGAAAAACGUGGCCAUGGGAGUGGGUAGCCGAUGGAGAUACAUGUUAACCAUUGAUGUGCGCCAAAGAGAAUUUUUUUAUUAAGCAUUCAUCUGUUUAUUCUUCUAAUCAUCUGUUUAUUCUUCUAAUCAUAUAUUGAUUGUUUGGUUUGUAUAAAUUCAAAUAAAUUAACUGUUUAGUGUAAAAAAAAUGUUUGG
ensembl:lncRNA